UCUACGGGCGGCAGCAGUGAGGAAUAUUGGUCAAUGGGCGAGAGCCUGAACCAGCCAAGUCGCGUGAAGGAUGAAGGAUCUAUGGUUUGUAAACUUCUUUUAUAUGGGAAUAAAGUGAGGAACGUGUUCCUUUUUGUAUGUACCAUAUGAAUAAGCAUCGGCUAACUCCGUGCCAGCAGCCGCGGUAAUACGGAGGAUGCGAGCGUUAUCCGGAUUUAUUGGGUUUAAAGGGUGCGUAGGUGGUUAAUUAAGUCAGCGGUGAAAGUUUGUGGCUCAACCAUAAAAUUGCCGUUGAAACUGGUUGACUUGAGUAUAUUUGAGGUAGGCGGAAUGCGUGGUGUAGCGGUGAAAUGCAUAGAUAUCAUGAAGAACUCCGAUCGCGAAGGCAAGUGUCCGGGGUGCAACUGACGCUGAGGCUCGAAAGUGCGGGUAUCAAACAGGAUUAGAUACCCGUGUAGUC
rnacentral:rRNA from 1 species